rnacentral:rRNA from 1 species
UAAGGAAUAUUUGUCAAUGGACGCAAGUCUGAACCAGCCAUGCCGCGUGAAGGAUUAAGGCCCUCUGGGUUGUAAACUUCUUUUAUAGGGGAAGAAAUGUGAUGGUUCUCCGUCACUUGACGGUACCCUGGGAAUAAGCACCGGCUAACUCCGUGCCAGCAGCCGCGGUAAUACGGAGGGUGCAAGCGUUAUCCGGAUUCACUGGGGUUAAAGGGUGCGUAGGUGGGCAGAUAAGUCAGUGGUGAAAUCUUCCGGCUUAACCGGGAAACUGCCGUUGAUACUAUUUGUCUUGAAUAUUGCGGAGGUAAGCGGAAUAUGUCAUGUAGCGGUGAAAUGCUUAGAUAUGACAUAGAACACCAAUUGCGAAGGCAGCUUACUACACAAUCAUUGACACUGAGGCACGAAAGCGUGGGUAGCGAACA